CCACCAACGCCUACCUCACCACACCAACCAAAACCCCAUCCCACUCCCGACAAACACCCCACCCCAAUUUCUCCGCCGCAAAAUACAUGUCGUCCUCCUCUCUCUCCAACUCCAAGCCGCCACCGAGGCCAAUCCGACGGCAAGAGCUCCCUCCUCGAAGCUCUGCGAGGUUGAGAUGGGUACUCGUAGACCUCUCAUUCUUCAGAUGAUCCAUGACCCCACCACUCUCGAUCCCCGGUGCCGAUUCCAGGUCAUUUCUAAUUUGCCCUCUGCAAUUUCUGAGUUUGCAGAGAAGAAAAACAUCUGAUAACUUUAAAAAUGUAUGUUGCUACUGGAUGGACCUGGAAAGAUGCUUUUAUGAUGUCGUGAUGCUCUUUGUGCUGAUUUGGUGCAAGAAAAUGAGUUCUUGUUUACUGGCUAUCAUUCUUAUGGGGUGCCCACAGUAGUAGAGACAUACUUGAUCAUAGUUGGUUAACACCUACAAUAUCUACCACAUGAGCUUCUUUUGUGGGAAGGGGUGAUGCCUUGAAAGCACAAAGGAAAGCCAGGAAAGUGCAUAUAUUGGUUAUUCAUCAAGUUUUUGGGAGCUUUGUAAGACUGAGGCAUCACAGAAUAAGCAGUCUUUUGUUGGUGAGGCCUUAAAACGGACUAGAAAAAACUGGUUCAACUUCAUAGCUGAUUCUUUGCCAAUUAAACUCUAUCAAACUGGUGAGAAGUUCAACAUAUCAAAUUUGUGUUUACUUGAUAGCUCAGGUGGAGCUAGCCUUUUAGAAUAUUCUUUUUCGAGAUGCAAGAAGUCACGGAAAGAUAAGAUGUAAGCAAAGAAGAAGCUCUUGCCACUGUCGUCGUAACCGCAGUUGGAGGAUUGUCAUUACCAGCCUUGUCUCUUGUUGAAUCUGUUUCCUCUUACGACUGCUCCGGAAGUUGAAUUAGCUUUGGUGUGGUUAAGCUCUUCCUUAUCUUAGGACGAAUCUGUAGAGCAAGGCCUUCAAACUUGUUUUUGUAAGAUACUACUGGACUUUCCACUGGUUUUUGGAUU